rnacentral:lncRNA from 1 species
GGAGUAAUUGGCAAAAUACACAAAAUAUAAACCUAAAACCCCUAGACUUGAGGACAUCAGCCGCAGAACAAAAAGAGAGGAGACUCCUCAUCGCCAUUUUUCGGCUUCCCUUCUUCAACAUCAAGAACAAUAGCGUUCCCCACCCCUCUUUCUGAUAUCUUCUUUGUUCUCAAAAUCAAAGAGACACACACACAAGAUGUGGACAAAAAGAAAGCCAAGAGGGAAAAUGGGUUAGGCUAAUAUAGUGAUAACAUAAACAUAGGCCCUUUGGUUAUUUGUUGAUGGAAUCGGAAAGGAGGAAACAGUAAGGUUUAAAAAUAUUGAUUUCAAUCUUCUUCACAUCAUCUCAUCUCCACCAUUAAAAUACCUUAUGAACCUCCAUUAAACAAGCUCCAAAUUCACUGCUGCGGGUUUUUGGAUUUACCGAUGAGAUUUUCCGUUUGAGAUCGUCAUUCACUGUUUUCCAAGUUGAGGUCUGUCCGGCAUCCGUGGUUCAAGUUUCGUUCUUCGUCUCUCGUUAUAGCGAUUCUGCAUCUAAACAUAAAUUGUAAAGUUGGGAGAAUCUCAUUAAUAGGCGGUAUUCUGUUUGAGGUCCACUUAUAUUCCCUUUCUUUAAUUAAUUCAAGAAGUUUUAGUGUGCUACUGUAGUACUUUUGGUUUGAUUGAAUUUGCGUUCUUGAUGAGUUUGUUGUUAUCUUUGGGUUAAAUUUUCAUGUUAUCCUAAACUGCAUCAAUUUCAAGAAUCACUUCAUCAGUAGCUGCAACAUCUAUUAGACACUAGAAAUACAGGAGAACGUUUGAGCAUUACUCGUUGAGUUAGUUCUUUGGUUGCAAACAGACAAGUCGGUGCUUACUAUAAUGUGUUGUUAAUUAUUUCUUGUUUGUCAAAUGCUUUUUGCUGAGAGGUGAAAUAUAGGCUUUCAUAUUGAGGAGUAAAUCACGUUCUAGUAUUCUUAUUUGGUUGAUGAAGUAAUAUGGAACUUUUAGUCCAUUUGUAAAAUUGAAGGGAGAUCUUAUUUUGGAACACAUAAUGCUAUGUUUCACCUCCUUGCAUAUUGCUUAGAUUUUUGAAUUAUGUUGAUUGAUUUGCCAUUUGGUUCCUUGUAUUUCUUAAUAAAGCUGUAAUUCUUCAUGUAAUGCACUAGAAGUACAAUGUGAAAAUCUGAGGUUAUAGGGCUUCCAUCUAAAUUUUAGACCCCCUCCCAAAAAAAAAGAGAAGAGGGAACAGAACGAUUCCGGUGGUGCGGAAAUAGAUGAACGAGGUUUUCACUUUUCAAUGGAAGGGAGCAGGGUGUGCAUUUCAUGUGAUCCGACUUCUAAUUUCCAACGAGGUUAAAUAGAAUGUGACGUGAACCACGGGUGCAUUUCAUGUAGCAUGGCUUGCGAUGUGUUUUAAAUAACCUUGAAAUAAUUCCUUAAAUAAAUAAAAGUGGUUUUAAAGUUAAAAUGCACAUAUAUUUUUAAAAUGUUUUAAAAUCUGAUAAUUAGGCCAAUAAUAAUAGUUUGAGCGACCGUACUAGAACCACGGAACUCGGGAAUGCCUAACACCUUCUCCCGGGUUAACAAAAUUCCUUACCCGGAUUUCUGUGUUCGCGGACUGUAAUACAGAGUCAAUCUUUUCCUCGAUUCGGGAUUUGAACCGGUGACUUGGGACACCAUAAAAUUAUCCCAAGUGGCGACUCUGAAUUUGAUAUAAAUAAUCCCGUUUCGAUUGUCACUUAAAUUAGAAAAAACUCCCUUACACCCUUUCGGGGGUAGUAAAAGGAGGUGUGACACGUGGUGUAGCCAGAGCACCCGCGUGAGCUCCGCCAAGGUACCACCAGCAGUUCCAGCCAGAGUUCAGGCACCUGAUACGCCUACUGCUACUACUACUCCAGCACUUCAGGAGACUCUGGCACAGUUCAUGAGCAUGUACACCACUUUGGCUCAGGCAGGGUUGCUUCCCCUUGCUGCAGCUACAUCUCAGACCAAAGGAGGAGCAUAGACUCCCGCCGCCCGCACUCCUGAGCAGUGAGUGCAUCAAUGCAGGUCCCUAAAAUUAUUCCUGUACAGCCUGUAGCCCCAGGUCAGCUCGAGGACAGGGCAGUGGCUUCAGAGGAUGAGCAGCGAAGACUUGAGAGGUUCAAGAAGUAUGAUCCUCCUGUAUUCAGUGGGUUAGCCUCCAUUGAUGCCUUGGGAUUUCUGGAAGAGUGUCACUGUAUCCUCCGCACCAUGGGUAUAUCAGGAUCGAGUGGGGUUUCUUUCACUGCCUUCCAGCUUUGAGGAGCCGCUUAUAAGUGGUGGCGCACCUAUGAGUUAGACAGUCCAGACGAGGCAACUUCACUGACUUGGACUCAGUUUUCAGAUAUGUUAUUGAGAGAUUUUGUUCCUCAUAGCCUUAGGGACGCAUGGCACGCAGAGUUUGAUCAUUUGCGCUAGGAUGCUAUGACUGUCACGGAGUAUAUUGUCCGUUACACUAGCUUGGCUUGACAUGCCCCAGCCUUGGUUUCUACUGUUUGCGAGAGGGUUCGCCAGUUUAUUGAGGGGCUUAUUCCCAGCAUCAGGUCUAGCAUGGCUCGAGAGUUGGAGAUGGAUAUUUAUUAUUAGUAAGGUGGUGAGCAUUGCUAGGAGUAUUGAGGGUAUGCAUACUAGGGAGAGAGAGGAGAGGGAGGCCAAGAGGUCUCGAGAGUCGGGCCAUUAUUCUGGUGCUCUUGCCCCAGCAGCAGGUCGUCAUGGUAGGGGUUAUAUGAGUCUCCCCAUUCAUUCAGCUCUUCCAGCAGCCAGUGGUGUUCCAGCUCCUCCUAGGCCCUAGAAGCCUUAUUAUGAACCUCCAGUAUUUAGUGCGCUUCCUGUGCGAGGUGCUUUCAGUGGUCAGUCCAGCAGACUUGACCCGAGCCAGUCAUAGCCAUCACGUCCUCCCAGAGCUUUUUUUGAGUGUGGUGAUACACGCCAUAUGGUGAAGGAUUGCCCCAGACUUAUAAGGGGUGCACCUCCACAGACUUCUCAACCAUAGUGUGCCCUAUAGAGUUCUUAGGCUAUGGUUACAGCUCCAGUUGCUACCCCACCUACUCAGCCAACUAGAUGUGGAGGUCAGGGAGGUAAAGGUCACCCUAGAGGGGGAGGUCAGGCCAGAUACUAUGCCCUUCAUGUUUGUACCGAGGUUGUUGCUUCCAAUUCUGUCAUCAUAGGUAUUAUACUGGUUUGUCACAAAGAUGCAUCGGUUCUAUUCAAUCCAGGCUCCACUUACUCUUAUGUGUCUUCUUAUUUUGCUCUGUAUUUGGGUGUACCUCGGGAUUCUUUAGGUUCCCCUAUUUAUGUUUCUACUCCUAUGGGAGAUUCUCUUGUUGUGGACCGCGUUUAUUGGUCAUGUUUGGUUGCUCUUAGUGGUUUUGAGACCAGAGCCGAUUUAUUGUUGCUCAGCAUAGUAGAUUUUGAUAUUAUCUUGGGCAUGGACUGGUUGUCGCCCCAUUUUGCUAUUCUUGAUUGUCACGCCAAAACCGCGACNNNNNNNNNNNNNNNNNNNNNNNNNNNNNNNNNNNNNNNNNNNNUGGUGCGUAUCUAGCUUAUGUGAGAGAUGUCACUAUUGAUACCCUUUCAGUUGAUUCAGUCCCAGUAGUACGGAAUUUUCCUGAUGUAUUUCCAGCUGCUCUUUCGGGCAUGCAGAUUGAUAGAGAUAUUGAUUUUGACAUUAAUCUGUUGCUGGGCACUCAGCCUAUUUCUAUUCCUCUGUAUCGUAUGUCUCCUCUUGAGUUAAAGGAAUUGAAGGAUCAGUUGUAGGAAUAGCUUGAUAAGGGUUUUAUUCGGCCCCGGUGUAUACCUUGGGGUGCUCCUAUUUUGUUUGUGAAGAAAAAGGAUGGUUCUAUGCAUAUGUGUAUUGAUUAUCACCAGUUGAACAAAGUUACAGUGAAGAACCGUUAUCCUUUGCCUCGUAUUGAUGAUCUGUUUGACCAGCUCCAGGGCGCGCGGGUGUUUUCUAAGAUUGAAUUUCCCUCUAGCUACCAUCAACUGAAGAUUUGGGAGCCAGAUAUCUUGAAGACUACUUUCAGGACUCGGUAUGGUCAUUACGAUUUCCUUGUUAUGUCAUUUGGGCUGACCAAUGCCCCAGCAACCUUUAUGCAUUUGAUGCAUAGUGUGUUCCGACCGUAUCUUGACUCGUUUGUCAUUGUCAUUAUUGAUGAUAUUCUAGUAUAUUCCUAAAGUCAGGAAGAUCAUAAGCAGCACCUGAGGACAGUGCUCAUGACUCUGAGAGAAAAGAAGUUAUAUGAUAAGUUCUCAAAAUGUGAGUUUUGGUUGGAUUCCGUGGCAUUCUUAGGCAACGUGGUAUCGAGUGAGGGUAUUCAGGUGGAUCCGAAGAAAGUAGAGGCAGUGCAGAGUUGGCCCAGACCAUCCUCAGCUACAGAUAUCCGCAGUUUUCUUGGCUUGGCGGGUUACUACCAUCAUUUUGUGGAGGGGGUUUCAUCGAUUGCAGCCUCUAUGACCAGGCUGACCUAGAAGGGUGCUCCGUUCCAAUGGACGGAAGAGUGUGAGGCGAGCUUUUAGAAGCUCAAUAUAACUUUGACUACAACCCCAGUUUUGAUAUUGCCUACAGGUUAGGGGUCUUAUACGAUCCAUUGUGAUGCCUCGAGGAUUGGCCUUGGAGCAGUAUUGAUGUAGGGCAGUAGGGUGAUUGCCUACACGUCCAGACAGUUGAAGGUACAUGAGAAGAAUUACCAUGUCCAUGAUCUAGAGUUAGUUGCCAUUGUUCACGCCCUGAAGAUCUGGCGCCAUUAUUUGUACGGUGUUCCUUAUGAGAUUUAUACUGAUCAUCGGAGCUUUCAGCACCUGUUCAAGCAAAAGGAUCUUAAUUUGCACCAGAGGAGGUGGUUAGAGUUGCUGAAGGACUAUGAUAUCACUAUUUUGUACCACCUGGGCAAGGCCAAUAUAGUGGUCGAUGCCUUGAGUCGACGGGCAGAGAGUUUGGGGAGUUUGGCUUAUUUGCCAGCAGCAGAGAGGCCCAUGUUGAUGGAUGUUCAGGCCUUUUCUAGCCAGUUUGUGAGAUUGGAUCUUUCGGAACCCAGUCGGGUUCUAGCUUGCAUGAUUUCUCGGUCUUCCCUAUUUGAUCGUAUCAGGGAGCGUCAGUAUGAUGAUCCUCUUUUGCUUGUCCUCAAGGAUAAGGUUCAGCAUGGUGAUGCUAGAGAUGUGACUAAUGGUAUUGAUGGGGUAUUGAGGAUGCAGGGCCGGAUUUGUGUACCCAAUAUUGAUGGGCUUCGGGAGUUGAUUCUAGAGAAGGCCCAUAGUUCGUGGUAUUCCAUUCAUCCGGGUGUCGCAAAGAUGUAUCAGGAUUUAAGGCAACACUAUUGGUGGAGGUGGAUAAAGAAAGAUAUAGUUGGAUUUGUAAUUCGGUGCCUCAAUUGUCCGCAGGUGAAGUAUGAGCACCAGAGAUGUGGUGGGUUGCUUCAGCAAAUAGAGAUUCCGGAGUGGAAGUGGGAGCGGAUCACCAUGGACUUUGUAGUUGGUCUCCCGCAGGCUUUGAGAAAGUUCAAUGCUACUUGGGUGAUUGUGGAUUGGCUGACCAAGUCCGCUCACUUCAUUCAUUUGUGUACUACUUAUUCUUCGGAAUGGUUGGCGGAGAUUUAUAUCUGAGAGAUUAUUCGUCUGCAUGGUAUCCCAGUUUCCAUAGUUUCAGAUAGGGGUACUCAGUUCACAUCAUGGUUUUAGAGGGCCGUUCAGCAUGAAUUAGGUAUUCGGGUGGAGUUGAGUACAUCAUUUCACCCUUAGACGGAUGGACAGUCCGAGUGCACUAUUCAGAUUCUUGAGGAUAUGCUCCGUGCAUAUGUGAUUGAGUUUGGAGGGUUUUGGGAUCAGUUCUUGCCAUUGGCGGAGUUUGCCUACAACAACAGCUAUCAGUCCAACAUUCAGAUGGCACCGUAUGAUGCUUUAUAUGGUAGGCGGUGUAUAUCCCCGGUGGGUUGGUUUGAGCCGAGUAAGGCCAGAUUAAUGGGCACAGACUUAGUUCAGCAUGCCUUGAAGAAGGUUAAGAUGAUUCAGGAUAGACUCCAUAUAGCCCAAUCCAGACAGAAGAGCUACGCGGACCGGAAGGUUCGUGAUGUUUCCUAUAUGGUUGGACAGCGGAUUCUACUUCGGGUUUCGCCUAUGAAGGGCGUCAUGAGAUUUGGAAAGAAGGGAAAGUUGAGUCCGAGGUUUAUUUGCCCUUUUGAGGUAUUGUGGCGUGUUGGGGAGGUUGCUUUUGAGCUUGCCUUACCUCCCAGCUUGGCAGGAGCUCAUCCAGUAUUUCAUGUUUCGAUGCUCCGGAGGUAUCACGGGGAUCCGUCGCACGUGUUGGAUUUCAGUUCAGUCCAGUUGGGCAAUGAUCUAUCUUAUAUUGAGAAGCUAGUGGCAAUAUUGGACAGGCAUGUUAGAAAGUUGAGGUCAAAGAACAUUGCAUUAAUAAAGGUUCAGUGGCGGGCUCAGCCAGUCGAGGAGGCGACCUAGGAGACCGAGCAGGAUAUGCGCAGCCGUUACCCACAUCUUUUCACUACUUCAGGUAUGUCUUUAUGCUUGUUCGAGGACGAAUGAAUAUUUAAGUGUGGGAGGAUGUAACGACCCGACCGAUCGUUUUAAGAAUUUAUGCCUCGAUCCCCUAUUAACUACUUUUUCCGUGUUUAUUUCUACUAUUUUGAUUUGUCGGGAUGUUUGGUUUUGAGUUUCGGAGAGUUUUGGGACACUUAGUCCCUAGAUGAGAGCUUAAGUUUUGAAAAUUUAACCGUAGUCAGAACAAUGUGAAGACAACCUCGGAAUGGAAUUCUGAUAGUUCUGUUAGCUCCGUUGGGUGAUUUCGGGCUAAGGGGCGUGUUCAGAUUGUAUUUUGGAGGUCCGUAGCUAAUUUAGGCUUGAAAUGCCGAAAGUUGAAUUUUGAAGUUUCCGAUUCGAUAGUGACAUUUUGAUCUGAGGGUCGGAAUGGAAUUCCUGAAGUUAGAGCAGCUCCGUAGUGUUGAAUGUGACGUGUGUGCAAAAUUUCAGGUCAUUCGGACGAGGUUUGAUAGACUUUUUUAUUGAAAGAGUAUUUUGAGAGUUUUUGAAGUUCUUAGGCUUGAAUACGAUGCUAAUUGAUUGAUUCGAUGUUGUUUGAGGUGGUUGGAAGAUUGGUACAAGUUUGAAUAGUGGUAUAUGACUUGUUUGUAUUUUUGGUUGAGGUCUCGGGGGCCUCGGGAUGAUUUCGAGUGGUUAACGGGAAGUUGGAAAGUUGGAGUUUGCAGCUUAAGUCUUUGGGCUGUUGUCAUAACCGCAUCUGCAGUUGAAUGGCCGCAGAUGCGACUCCCGCAGAUGCGGAGUAAAGCCGCAGAAGCGGCCAAAGGAGAAGUAGAGCAGGGACCGCAGAAGCGUAUGGAUUAACACACCUGCAGGACCGCAGAUGCGGCAUCUGGGUCGCAGGUGCGGAGAUGGAACUUUUAAGUGAGAACCGCAGAAGCAGUUCCACCAACUGUAGAAGCGGUAUCGUAGAUGCGAUGGGUGGACCGCAAAUGCGGGAUUGCUGGGCCGAACAUAAAUAGUUGUCUUCGCGAAUUUGAGCUAUUCUUUCACCAUUUUUAUCCGGGAAGUGAGCUUUUGGGGAGGUUUUUGAGAGGGAAUUCAAGGGAGCUUCGAGGAGGUAAGAUUCUUGGAACCUAAACUCAUUAUUAUAGUGAUUUCUAUCAUUCUAAGCAUGAGAAUUUAAGGAAAAUUAGUGGUAAUUUGGGGGUUAGGGCUUGAUUAAUUAGAGACCUUUGAGUGAUAAUUUGAGGGUCCAUUUGGGGUCCGAUUUUGGUACUUUUAGUAUGACUGAACUCGUGAGAGUAUGAGAAUUCUGAAAAUAUAAAUUUUACCUGAUUCCGAGAUGUGGGCCCGAGGGGCAUUUUGGUCAUUUUACCUAAUUUCGCGUAGUAGUUUAGAAUUUCUUUGUAGAAUCGGUUACUUGAAGUGUUAUUAAUAUUAUGCAAUUGAAUUGAAUAGAUUUCGGCCAUUUGGAGUCGAGUACUCGUGGCAAGAACGUGGUCUCGGGUUGAUUAUUGAGUUGGUUCGAG